rnacentral:rRNA from 1 species
AUUCCAGCUCCAAUAGCGUAUAUUUAAGUUGUUGCAGUUAAAAAGCUCGUAGUUGGAUUUUGGUGUUUGACAAAUGGUUUGCCUUCGGGUUUGCACUGUUUGUUGGCACUUCUUUUCUGGGGAACUCACUGCUCUUAAUUGAGGGGUGCUGUAACGCAGAUCGUUUACUUUGAAAAAAUUAGAGUGUUUAAAGCAGGCUUAGGCCUGAAUACAUUAGCAUGGAAUAAUAGAAUAGGACCUGUGUUCUAUUUUGUUGGUUUCUAGGACGUAGGUAAUGAUUAAUAGGGACAGUCGGGGGCAUUUGUAUUCAAACGACAGAGGUGAAAUUCUUGGACCGUUUGAAGACAAACUACUGCGAAAGCAUUUGCCAAGAAUGUUUUCAUUA